rnacentral:lncRNA from 1 species
UGGUUCAAAUCUCUGGAGGUUGGUGUGAAGGAGAUACUAGGAAUAUUGGGGUAGGUGUGGAUUGGCUGUGAAGGGAAGGAGAAGACCUGAGAGGAGGGACACGGAGACAGGAAACAGACAAAUGGAACUCUAAAGGACAGCCUCCAGGCUGCUUUAGGGUUUGACAACACUGGAAUCAAGGAAAGGAGGGGGAAAUCGCACCACAUCCAUAUAGGUUGGUAUGAGGGUGGUACAACUUUGGGUGGGGAAAUGGAAAUCAACACUGGCCCAAGAGUGAUUAGGGUACUCUGGGGGCUCUUAAACCUCUCCCAUUGCCAACACUUACCAGUUUCAUACCUGUUUUGUAUCAUGCAAAGUAACGUGGCAAACUCU